GAGAGAUGGUCGAGUUGGUUUAAGGCACCGGUCUUGAAAACCGGCGUACCUUUGCGGGUACCCAGGGUUCGAAUCCCUGUCUCUCC
rnacentral:tRNA from 1 species